CAAUGAGUGGUUAAAAUGUUGAUGCUAGUAUGGUCAAAUUGAAGCAAGGUAAACGAUGUUAAGAAGAGCAACUUAGUUACAAGAGUUUAUUAGUAGUGGGUGUUAGCUGUUAGUACUGAUGCUUUUCUAUAAAUAUAUAUAGUGUUAGCCCUCUGUUUUAAUAUACAUAUUACUCCAUCUGUUUCUGCACUUUCACUUAUUAUUCUCUCCAUUCUUGUUCUUGCUGUGAGAUUCAGUAAUUAACAAACAAGAACAUGGAGUGGUGGGUGUCAAUGCCAAAGGUGGAGUUGCAUGCUCAUCUCAAUGGAUCCAUUAGAGACUCCACACUCUUAGAACUCACAAAGGCCUUAGGUGAAAAGGGUGUUAUAAAUUUCUCUCAAGUGGAGCAUAUUAUCAUGAAGUGUAUAUGGAUCAUGAA